rnacentral:lncRNA from 1 species
GAGCGGUCAGGCUUUGAUGUUAAACUAUAAAUGUGUAACCCUUAGUGUGUUGCUAUAAGAAUGUGUUUUAUAACAAUGUAUAAGUAUAUAUGAACUAAAGUUAUAACUGGCGACCCUUCUUUGGUAGCGUGGUACUCUGGUAUCGUGGUUCUUUGUGGUAUUCCGGUAGAUCUAAGGUUGGUUCUGUAUAGGUUUUGUGGUACUUAGUGGUAUUCUGGUAGAUCUUAGUUUGGUUCUGUUUAGGUUUUUGUAAGAAUAACAGACUCGUUAAAUAAAAAUCAACUUGUAUUAUCUUUAAGAUGCGCUAAAUAUCUACAAUUCAUACAAAUAGUAUAUAACUUAACAGUAUUCUAGUCUAACAAAUAAAUACCUUACUUUAUUAGAAUAUCGUAAAGAAAAUGGA